rnacentral:rRNA from 1 species
ACGUAUGGUGCAAGCGUUAUCCGGAUUUACUGGGUGUAAAGGGAGCGCAGGCGGUACGGCAAGUCUGAUGUGAAAUCCCGGGGCUCAACCCCGGUACUGCAUUGGAAACUGUCGGACUAGAGUGUCGGAGGGGUAAGUGGAAUUCCUAGUGUAGCGGUGAAAUGCGUAGAUAUUAGGAGGAACACCAGUGGCGAAGGCGGCUUACUGGACGAUUACUGACGCUGAGGCUCGAAAGCGUGGGGAGCAAACAG